rnacentral:rRNA from 1 species
CCUACGGGAGGCAGCAGUGAGGAAUAUUGGUCAAUGGGCGUAAGCCUGAUCCAGCCACGUCGCGUGAGGGAUGAAGGUUCUAUGGAUCGUAAACCUCUUUUGUAAGGGAAUAAAGUGCGGGACGUGUCCCGUUUUGUCUGUACCUUAUGAAUCAGGCUCGGCUAACUCCGUGCCAGCAGCCGCGGUAAUCCGGAGGGUCCGAGCGUUAUCCGGAUUUAUUGGGUUUAAAGGGUGCGUCGGCGGCCGUGUAAGUCAGGGGGGAAAGUCUGUGGCUCAACCAUAGAAUUGCCGUUGAAACUGGGAGGCUGGAGUGUGUUUGAGGCAGGCGGAAGGCGUGGUGUAGCGGUGAAAUGCGGAGAUAUCAGGAAGAACCCCGAUUGCGAAGGCAGCCUGCCAAGCCAUGACUGACGUUGAUGCACGAAAGCGUGGGGAUCAAACAGGAUUAGAUACCCUGGUAGUC